UGUAGCAGCGACGGGCCAAAUUUGUGGCUUUACCAUGUAGCAGCGACGGGCCAAAUUUGUGGCUUUACCGUGUAGCAGCGACGGGCCAAAUUUGUGGCUUUACCGUGUAGCAGUGACGGGCCAAAUUUGUGGCUUUACCGUGUAGCAGCGACGGGCCAAAUUUGUGGCUUUACCGUGUAGCAGCGACGGGCCAAAUUUGUGCCAUGAUGUAAACCCCCCAAAAAUAGAUGAUACAUAAUCUGAUCACAAAUGCUUUGAUAUAUAUUAUGAAAUGGUUUGUGUGAGGGGUGAUUUUUUCUCAUUUUUCUCGCUUGGAGGGACCAUUAAGAAACAUGAUCCCUGCUGCUUCCAUCACCAGGUUAAAAUAUGGAAAUAAAUGAGAAAAUUAAGUGAAACAAUUACGAAACUCACCUUAGAGAUUGUGUGGCGUGGGUGUGUGGUGGUGGUGGUGGUGGUGGUGGUGUGUGACCCUGCUGGUGUUGAGAUGCUGGUGGUGGUGUGUGGCGCUGGUGGUGUUGAGAUGCUGGGGGUGGUGUGUGGCGCUGGUGGUGUUGAGAUGCUGGUGGUGGUGUGUGGCCCUGCUGGUGUUGAGAUGCUGGUGGUGGUGUGUGGCCCUGGUGGUGUUGAGAUGCUGGUGGUGGUGUGUGGCCCUGGUGGUGUUGAGAUGCUGGUGGUGGUGUGUGGCCCUGGUGGUGUUGAGAUGCUGGUGGUGGUGUGUGGCCCUGCUGGUGUUGAGAUGCUGGGGGUGGUGUGUGGCCCUGCUGGUGUUGAGAUGCUGGUGGUGGUGUGUGGCCCUGGUGGUGUUGAGAUGCUGGGGGUGGUGUGUGGCCCUGGUGGUGUUGAGAUGCUGGUGGUGGUGUGUGGCCCUGCUGGUGUUGACUGGUGGUGGUGUGUGGCCCUGGUGGUGUGGCCCUGGUGGUGUUGAGAUGCUGGGGGCUUCAUCUUUCUCUACUUUCAUUUUAUUUCACUUCAUUUGUGUAUUUUUUUGUACUUUUUCCAUUCCUUUCUUAUUCCUGUUCUUUAUCAAUUUUUCUUCUUUUACAAACAGCAUUUCCCCUUCAGUGGUUUCCUUCAUUAACUGUAAAAACAAAAACACGCAUACAAUCGCCCCCAAAUAGUAAGGUUUUGGUUCUAUAUGGAUUGUUACGGAAGGUCUGUUUAGGAUUUUCUGCCCCCCAAAUAGUAAGGUUUCCAAUAGUAAGGUUUUGGUUCUAUAUGGAUUGUUACGGAAGGUCAUUUUAGGAUUUCCUGCCCCUCAAAUAGUAAGGUUUCCAAAUAGUAAGGUUUUGGUUCUAUAUGGAUUGUUACGGAAGGUCAUUUUAGGAUUUCCUGCCCCCCAAAUAGUAAGGUUUCCAAAUAGUAAGGUUUUGGUUCUAUAUGGAUUGUUACGGAAGGUCUGUUUAGGAUUUCCUGCCCCUCAAAUAGUAAGGUUUUGGUUCUAUAUGGAUUGUUACGGAAGGUCAUUUUAGGAUUUCCUGCCCCUCAAAUAGUAAGGUUUUGGUUCUAUAUGGAUUGUUACGGAAGGUCAUUUUAGGAUUUCCUGCCCCUCAAAUAGUAAGGUUUUGGUUCUAUAUGGAUUGUUAUGGAAGGUCUUUUUAGGUCAAUUUCCUGCCCCCCAAAUAGUAAGGUUUUGGUUCUAUAUGGAUUGUUAUGGAAGGUCUUUUUAGGUCAAUUUCCUGCCCCCCAAAUAGUAAGGUUUUGGUUCUAUAUGGAUUGUUAUGGAAGGUCUUUUUAGGUCAAUUUCCUGCCCCCCAAAUAGUAAGGUUUUGGUUCUAUAUGGAUUGUUAUGGAAGGUCUUUUUAGGUCAAUUUCCUGCCCCUCAAAUAGUAAGGUUUUGGUUCUAUAUGGAUUGUUAUGGAAGGUCUUUUUAGGUGAAUUUCCUGCCCCCCAAAUAGUAAGGUUUUGGUUCUAUAUGGAUUGUUACGGAAGGUCUGUUUAGGAUUUCCUGCCCCUCAAAUAGUAAGGUUUUGGUUCUAUAUGGAUUGUUACGGAAGGUCAUUUUAGGAUUUCCUGCCCCCCAAAUAGUAAGGUUUUGGUUCUAUAUGGAUUGUUAUGGAAGGUCUUUUUAGGUCAAUUUCCUGCCCCUCAAAUAGUAAGGUUUUGGUUCUAUAUGGAUUGUUACGGAAGGUCAUUUUAGGAUUUCCUGCCCCUCAAAUAGUAAGGUUUUGGUUCUAUAUGGAUUGUUAUGGAAGGUCUUUUUAGGUCAAUUUCCUGCCCCCCAAAUAGUAAGGUUUUGGUUCUAUAUGGAUUGUUACGGAAGGUCAUUUUAGGAUUUCCUGCCCCCCAAAUAGUAAGGUUUUGGUUCUAUAUGGAUUGUUAUGGAAGGUCUUUUUAGGUGAAUUUCCUGCCCCCCAAAUAGUAAGGUUUUGGUUCUAUAUGGAUUGUUAUGGAAGGUCUUUUUAGGUGAAUUUCCUGCCCCCCAAAUAGUAAGGUUUUGGUUCUAUAUGGAUUGUUAUGGAAGGUCUUUUUAGGUGAAUUUCCUGCCCCCCAAAU